rnacentral:ncRNA from 1 species
GGUUUUUUUUUGGGGUAAAACCAAGGGAUGGCAAGAUUGGUUUUUUUGGUUGAAUUCUGGAAACCAAGCAGGAUUGUAGGGUUUUGUCCGGAGGACAGAUUUUUCAAAUUUUUGCCCUAUCCACUUUUUGAUGGUAGUAUUUAGGAUUCCCAUGGUUGCAACGGGUAACGGGGAAUCAGGGUUCGAUUCCGGAGAGGGAGCCUGAGAAACGGCUACCACAUCUAAGGAAGGCAGCAGGCGCGUAAAUUACCCACUCCCAGCUCGGGGAGGUAGUGACGAAAAAUAACAAUACAGGACUCAUAUCCGAGGCCCUGUAAUUGGAAUGAGUACACUUUAAAUCCUUUAACAAGGACCAAUUGGAGGGCAAGUCUGGUGCCAGCAGCCGCGGUAAUUCCAGCUCCAAUAGCGUAUAUUAAAGUUGUUGCGGUUAAAACGUUCGUAGUUGAACUUGUGCUUCAUACGGGUAGUACAACUUACAAUUGUGGUUAGUACUAUACCUUUAUGUAUGUAAGCGUAUUACCGGUGGAGUUCUUAUAUGUGAUUAAAUACUUGUAUUUUUUCAUAUGUUCCUCCUAUUUAAAAACCUGCACUAGUGCUCUUAAACGAGUGUUAUUGUGGGCCGGUACUAUUACUUUGAACAAAUUAGAGUGCUUAAAGCAGGCUUCAAAUGCCUGAAUAUUCUGUGCAUGGGAUAAUGAAAUAAGACCUCUGUUCUGCUUUCAUUGGUUUUCAGAUCAAGAGGUAAUGAUUAAUAGAAGCAGUUUGGGGGCAUUAGUAUUACGACGCGAGAGGUGAAAUUCUUGGACCGUCGUAAGACUAACUUAAGCGAAAGCAUUUGCCAAAGAUGUUUUCAUUAAUCAAGAACGAAAGUUAGAGGUUCGAAGGCGAUCAGAUACCGCCCUAGUUCUAACCAUAAACGAUGCCAGCUAGCAAUUGGGUGUAGCUACUUUUAU